CAACCCUUAAGCCUUGCUUAGUGUUGGGAUUCUACCUUUUACCGGUAGUUCCUUAAAUACAGUUGGCGGAGUGCAGUUAGGCUCUGAGCGCAGUAAUUUUAUUCCUCGCUUUAGACGUCUGCUAUACUACGGCCACAAACCUAAUUGAAUUCUUCAAU
rnacentral:misc_RNA from 1 species